rnacentral:rRNA from 1 species
AGAUUGAACGCUGGCGGCAGGCCUAACACAUGCAAGUCGAGCGGCAGCACGGGUACUUGUACCUGGUGGCGAGCGGCGGACGGGUGAGUAAUGCCUAGGAAUCUGCCUGGUAGUGGGGGGAUAACGCUCGGAAACGGACGCUAAUACCGCAUACGUCCCACGGGAGAAAGCAGGGGACCUUCGGGCCUUGCGCUAUCGAGAUGAGCCGUAGGUCGGAUUAGCUAGUUGGUGAGGUAAUGGCUCACCGAAGGCGACGACUCCGUAACUGGUCUAGAGAGGAUGAUCAGUCACACUGGAACUGACGACACGGGUCCAGGACCUCCGUACGGGAGGCAGCAGGUGGGAAUAUUGGACGAAGUGGGACGAAAGUCCUGAUCCCGAG